rnacentral:rRNA from 1 species
GACAGAGGUGCCGAGCGUUAGGCGGAAUCACUGGGCUUAAAGCGUGUGUAGGCGGACUUCUAAGUACCUUGUGAAAUCCCACGGCUCAACCGUGGAAGUGCAUUCGAAACUGCAGGGCUAGAGUCCUGGAGAGGAAGGUGGAAUGCUUGGUGUAGAGGUGAAAUUCGUAGAUAUCAAGCGGAACACCGGUGGCGAAGGCGGCCUUCUGGACAGUGACUGACGCUGAGACGCGAAAGCGUGGGGAGCAAACAGG